UAGGGAAUCCUCCACAAUGGGCGCAAGCCUGAUGGAGCAACACCGCGUGAGUGAAGAAGGGUUUCGGCUCGUAAAGCUCUGUUGUUAAAGAAGAACACGUAUGAGAGUAACUGUUCAUACGUUGACGGUAUUUAACCAGAAAGUCACGGCUAACUACGUACCAG
rnacentral:rRNA from 1 species